GACGAACCGUGCAAACGUUGUUCGGAAUCACUGGGCUUAAAGGGCGCGUAGGCGGGUUCCCAAGUCGGUGGUGAAAUCUUUCGGCCCAACCGGAAAAGUGCCGCCGAUACUGGGUGGCUCGAGGCAGGCAGGGGAGAUCGGAAUUCCUGGUGUAGCGGUGAAAUGCGCAGAUAUCAGGAGGAACACCGGUGGCGAAGGCGGAUCUCUGGGCCUGUCCUGACGCUCAGGCGCGAAAGCCUAGGGGAGCAAACAGG
rnacentral:rRNA from 1 species